GCUUUUGUCAGGUAGUGAGUGCAGUUGUCUCCUGCUGUUUCCAUGAGUUUUAUUCUGUGUUGAGUUCUGUGUGCAGCAAAUAGAACAGAUGCUUCAGAAUGCCUCAGACUGCACAUUUUCAUGCUUGUGCUAGCAGUUGUGGGCCUGCGUAUGAGGUACCAAUACAUCUGUACCUGGAUGCAGGACUGCCUGUUGGACCAUACAAAACCAGAUGAGGAACUUGGUAUUCUGCUGCAGAAUACACUGGGUUUUAUUCAAGGUUUGUGGAGCCAGAGAUGGACAUAACACCCUGCAGUGGUGCAUUAAAGGAGCUUAGGACAAUGCUGGAAGACAUUAAUGGCUUGGAGAAGUGGCAUCCAGUGAUUUGAGGGCAUGCAGAAUUUACAA